rnacentral:rRNA from 1 species
UGGCGAACGGGUGAGUAACAUGUGGGUGAUCUGCCCUGCACUUCGGGAUAAGCCUGGGAAACUGGGUCUAAUACCGGAUAGGAGCCAUUUUUAGUGUGAUGGUUUGGAAAGUUUUUUCGGUGUAGGAUGAGCUCGCGGCCUAUCAGCUUGUUGGUGGGGUAAUGGCCUACCAAGGCGGCGACGGGUAGCCGGCCUGAGAGGGUGGACGGCCACAUUGGGACUGAGAUACGGCCCAG